rnacentral:rRNA from 1 species
CUUAUAUUUUGUAGCGAGGUUAACUGAAUAAGGGAGCCGAAGGGAAACCGAGUCUUAACUGGGCGCGUUGAGUUGCAAGGUAUAGACCCGAAAACCCGGUGAUCUAGCCAUGGGCAGGUUGAAGGUUGGGUAACACUAACUGGAGGACCGAACCGACUAAUGUUGAAAAAUUAGCGGAUGACCUGUGGCUGGGGGUGAAAGGCCAAUCAAACCGGGAGAUAGCUGGUUCUCCCCGAAAUCUAUUUAGGUAGAGCCUUGUGUGAAUACCUUUGGGGGUAGAGCACUGUUUCGGCUAGGGGCCCAUCCCGGGUUACCAAACCGAUGCAAACUCCGAAUACCAAAGAGUAAUGCACAGGAGACACACGGCGGGUGCUAACGUCCGUCGUGGAGAGGGAAACAACCCAGACCGCCAGCUAAGGUCCCAAAAUCUAUAUUAAGUGGGAAACGAAGUGGGAAGGCUUAGACAGCUAGGAUGUUGGCUUAGAAGCAGCCACCAUUUAAAGAAAGCGUAAUAGCUCACUAGUCGAGUCGGCCUGCGCGGAAGAUGUAACGGGGCUAAAAUAUAGUACCGAAGCUGCGGCAUCAGGAGCAACAUUAAUGGUUUUACGCUUAACCACGCACGAACGAAGAGAGUGCGUGGGUAAAGCAACCAAAACGUCGAGGAAUGAAACGGAAAGAAUCAUUAAUGUUGCUCCUGUUGGGUAGGGGAGCGUUGUGUAAGCGGAAGAAGGUGGUUCGAGAGGAUUGCUGGACGUAUCACAAGUGCGAAUGCUGACAUAAGUAACGAUAAAACGGGUGAAAAACCCGUUCGCCGGAAGACCAAGGGUUCCUGUCCAACGUUAAUCGGGGCAGGGUGAGUCGGCCCCUAAGGCGAGGCUGAAAAGCGUAGUCGAUGGGAAACGGGUUAAUAUUCCCGUACUUGGUAAAGCUGCGAUGUGGGGACGGAGAAGGUUAGGUUAUCGACCUGUUGGAUAUGGUCGUUUAAGUUGGUAGGUGGGUGAGUUAGGCAAAUCCGGCUCACCGUUAACACUGAGAGAUGAUGACGAGGCACUAAGGUGCUGAAGUAAUUGAUACCACACUUCCAGGAAAAGCCACUAAGCUUCAGGCUUUACUAAACCGUACUGAAAACCGACACAGGUGGUCAGGUAGAGAAUACUCAGGCGCUUGAGAGAACUCGGGUGAAGGAACUAGGCAAAAUAGCACCGUAACUUCGGGAGAAGGUGCGCCGGCGUAGAUUGUAGUGACUUGCUCACGAAGGUUGAACCGGUCGAAGAUACCAGCUGGCUGCAACUGUUUAUUAAAAACACAGCACUCUGCAAACACGAAAGUGGACGUAUAGGGUGUGAUGCCUGCCCGGUGCUGGAAGGUUAAUUGAUGGUGUAAUCGAAAGAGAAGCUCCUGAUCGAAGCCCCAGUAAACGGCGGCCGUAACUAUAACGGUCCUAAGGUAGCGAAAUUCCUUGUCGGGUAAGUUCCGACCUGCACGAAUGGCAUAAUGAUGGCCAGGCUGUCUCCACCCGAGACUCAGUGAAAUUGAAAUCGCCGUGAAGAUGCGGUGUACCCGCGGCUAGACGGAAAGACCCCGUGAACCUUUACUAUAGCUUGACACUGAACCUUGAAUUUUGAUGUGUAGGAUAGGUGGGAGACUAUGAAGCGGUAACGCUAGUUAUCGUGGAGUCGUUGUUGAAAUACCACCCUUUAACGUUUGAUGUUCUAACGAAGUGCCUGAAACGGGUACUCGGACAGUGUCUGGUGGGUAGUUUGACUGGGGCGGUCUCCUCCCAAAGCGUAACGGAGGAGCACGAAGGUUUGCUAAUGACGGUCGGACAUCGUCAGGUUAGUGCAAUGGUAUAAGCAAGCUUAACUGCGAGACAGACAAGUCGAGCAGGUGCGAAAGCAGGUCAUAGUGAUCCGGUGGUUCUGAAUGGAAGGGCCAUCGCUCAACGGAUAAAAGGUACUCCGGGGAUAACAGGCUGAUACCGCCCAAGAGUUCAUAUCGACGGCGGUGUUUGGCACCUCGAUGUCGGCUCAUCACAUCCUGGGGCUGAAGUAGGUCCCAAGGGUAUGGCUGUUCGCCAUUUAAAGUGGUACGCGAGCUGGGUUUAGAACGUCGUGAGACAGUUCGGUCCCUAUCUGCCGUGGGCGUUGGAGAAUUGAGAGGGGCUGCUCCUAGUACGAGAGGACCGGAGUGGACGCAUCACUGGUGUACCAGUUGUCUCGCCAGAGGCACAGCUGGGUAGCUAAAUGCGGAAGAGAUAAGUGCUGAAAGCAUCUAAGCACGAAACUUGCCUUAAGAUGAGUUCUCCCAGUCUAUAAGACUGUAAGGGUUGUUUGAGACUAAGACGUAGAUAGGCUGGGUGUGUAAGCGGUGUGAGCCGUUGAGCUAACCAGUACUAAUUGCCCGAGAGGCUUAACUAU